rnacentral:rRNA from 1 species
GACGAACGCUGGCGGCGUGCUUAACACAUGCAAGUCGAACGGAAAGGCCCUGCUUUUGUGGGGUGCUCGAGUGGCGAACGGGUGAGUAACACGUGAGUAACCUGCCCUUGACUUUGGGAUAACUUCAGGAAACUGGGGCUAAUACCGGAUAGGAGCUCCUGCUGCAUGGUGGGGGUUGGAACGUUUCGGCGGUUGGGGAUGGACUCGCGGCUUAUCAGCUUGUUGGUGGGGUAGUGGCUUACCAAGGCUUUGACGGGUAGCCGGCCUGAGAGGGUGACCGGCCACAUUGGGACUGAGAUACGGCCCAGACUCCUACGGGAGGCAGCAGGGGGGAAUAUUGCACAAUGGGCGGAAGCCUGAUGCAGCAACGCCGCGUGCGGGAUGACGGCCUUCGGGUUGUAAACCGCUUUCGCCUGUGACGAAGCGUGAGUGACGGUAAUGGGUAAAGAAGCACCGGCUAACUACGUG